AGGUGAUGUCAUAACCCUCUUGGCUCACGGGAUUACGCUGUUGAGUGGCACGCUGUCUUUUCCACGUUUUUGAGCGUUCUUUCGGCAUUUAUAGCAGCUAACUGUUACGGCGACGAUGAUGCUGAUGAGCAGCAGGAUGAAAAAGAUGGCACCGAUAAUCACACCCACUGAGUACACUGUGGAAGAAACAGACAACAACAUGGAUACUUCAGUGACUGUUGGGUAAAACCACCAUCCUGAACUUAAGUCUGUCAAAGAAUAAACCAGACACAAAGCAGAAGGGCACUGAGAGAACACACGGUACAGACAAUAGAAUGAUAAUGUGAGGGGAGCAGACAGAAUUCACAUCACAACAAACAGCACUGAUCACAUCACUUCUGGCUGAAGACGCAGACGCAGAGUGCAUCGGCUGACCACCAGAGGUGGGUAACCCCACUUUAACAGUCCACUUAUUUAUUCUAUCCACCCACUAAACCAGCUGACACUAAUUAGUUAAAACUCUUCAUGCAGGUAGAUGAGCUCAUCAAUGUAAUCACCUGAUUUAAUUCAACAUUAUUUACAGUCAUUAAGACUCUGUGUGUAAUGUUUAUUUUGGCCUGAAAGUGGCAAAAAAACUAAUUUAAAAGUUAACAAUUUUUCCGCUUGAGGACAUUUCUAUGCAAAGCGGUGAUCCAUAAUACAGGAAAACAGAUAAACGGUAAUUAGGGCAUACGUGAACUAAAAUGUCUAAUAUUUCUUUCAAUAAGUUUCAACUGAAGUUGCAGCAAAAUUGUGGACAAUUUGAAUUGAGAGGCAGCA